AGAAAAGAAAGUGAAGAGUGAGAGGGGGUGAGAGUAAGACAAACCUCUUCUUCACGGUUAAGCAGAACAUCUUUGAUCCUCAAAAUCGGCAAUCAAUNAAUAAAGAUUGUAAAUUGAAAGCGAUUCAAAUAAGACAGACUCAGACUGUAAAAACAAGAAACAAAGAAGAUUCAGUAAAACUAAAACCUUCAAAGAAAAACCAAAAUGUCAUUGGACAAAACCCACAUUUGUUAGAAACAAGAAAGCACCCCAGACAAAAAUAAAAUCACAAAGAAGAAAAGAAAGUGAAGAGUGAGGGGGUGAGAGUAAGACAAACCUCUUCUUCACAGUUAAACAAAACAUCUUGGAUCCUCAAAAUCGGCAAUCAAUGAAUAAAGAUUUUAAAUUCAAAAUUGAAAAUUGAAAAUUUAUUUCACUAAGUCUUAUUUCUUAAUUUUAGGGCAUGACCCAGUUUGGAAAGAGAAAGAAUUGAAGCCACCCAGAAAUCAAUGUAAAAGAAAGAGAGAAAGGAAACAAAACAAAAGAAUCCGAAAAAUGUUUGUGUCUACCUAUGACAGCAGUAGUGUUGUUGUUCUUACACAGAGGAAAUAGAGAUAAAGAGAGGAAAUAAAAAUACCGCGUGCUUAGGAAAGUGGUUGUGGAAAGGAAAAACCAGUUGUGUUGAGAGAGAAAGAAAGGGUGUGCUCUUUUUGGGUGGGUUUUGACUUUGAUCAGAAAGACACUAUGGUUGAGUUAUAGAGAGAAAGCUCUGCUCUCCUUCUGCUCCCUCUUUUUCUCGAUAUAUUUUUUUUAUCUUCUCUCCCUUUUAUAUUUAUUUAUGCAAAAGAUAAAAGAUUUAAAUAAAAAAUAUAAUAUACUAUUAUUACGUCAACAUUAUUUUCUGGAAUUCGAUUAUUCAUCUAAAC
rnacentral:lncRNA from 1 species